GCGGCUGUGGUCUAGACUGGUCGAGGAUUGAAGCCUUCCAAGCUUCCAACCCGGGUUCAAAUCCCGGCAGCCGCACCA
rnacentral:tRNA from 1 species